rnacentral:rRNA from 2 species
GUGGCAGACUAGAGUGAUGUAGGGGAGACUGGAAUUCCUGGUGUAGCGGUGAAAUGCGCAGAUAUCAGGAGGAACACCGAUGGCGAAGGCAGGUCUCUGGGCAUUAACUGACGCUGAGGAGCGAAAGCAUGGGGAGCGAACAGGAUUAGAUACCCUGGUAGUCCAUGCCGUAAACGUUGGGCACUAGGUGUGGGGGACAUUCCACGUUUUCCGCGCCGUAGCUAACGCAUUAAGUGCCCCGCCUGGGGAGUACGGCCGCAAGGCUAAAACUCAAAGGAAUUGACGGGGGCCCGCACAAGCGGCGGAGCAUGCGGAUUAAUUCGAUGCAACGCGAAGAACCUUACCAAGGCUUGACAUGAACCGGUAAUACCUGGAAACAGGUGCCCCGCUUGCGGUCGGUUUACAGGUGGUGCAUGGUUGUCGUCAGCUCGUGUCGUGAGAUGUUGGGUUAAGUCCCGCAACGAGCGCAACCCUCGUUCUAUGUUGCCAGCGCGUUAUGGCGGGGACUCAUAGGAGACUGCCGGGGUCAACUCGGAGGAAGGUGGGGACGACGUCAAAUCAUCAUGCCCCUUAUGUCUUGGGCUUCACGCAUGCUACAAUGGCCGGUACAAAGGGUUGCGAUACUGUGAGGUGGAGCUAAUCCCAAAAAGCCGGUCUCAGUUCGGAUUGGGGUCUGCAACUCGACCCCAUGAAGUCGGAGUCGCUAGUAAUCGCAGAUCAGCAACGCUGCGGUGAAUACGUUCCCGGGCCUUGUACACACCGCCCGUCAAGUCACGAAAGUUGGUAACACCCGAAGCCGGCCUAACCCU